rnacentral:rRNA from 1 species
AGAGUUUGAUCCUGGCUCAGAUUGAACGCUGGCGGCAUGCCUUACACAUGCAAGUCGAACGGCAGCACGGACUUCGGUCUGGUGGCGAGUGGCGAACGGGUGAGUAAUAUAUCGGAACGUACCCUGGAGUGGGGGAUAACGCAGCGAAAGUUGCGCUAAUACCGCAUACGAUCUACGGAUGAAAGUGGGGGAUCGCAAGACCUCAUGCUCGUGGAGCGGCCGAUAUCUGAUUAGCUAGUUGGUAGGGUAAAAGCCUACCAAGGCUUCGAUCAGUAGCUGGUCUGAGAGGACGACCAGCCACACUGGGACUGAGACACGGCCCAGACUCCUACGGGAGGCAGCAGUGGGGAAUUUUGGACAAUGGGGGCAACCCUGAUCCAGCAAUGCCGCGUGAGUGAAGAAGGCCUUCGGGUUGUAAAGCUCUUUUGUCAGGGAAGAAACGGUGAAGGCUAAUACUCUUUGCUAAUGACGGUACCUGAAGAA